rnacentral:rRNA from 1 species
AUAAUGGGUCAGCGACUUAUAUUCUGUAGCAAGGUUAACCGAAUAGGGGAGCCGAAGGGAAACCGAGUCUUAACUGGGCGUUAAGUUGCAGGGUAUAGACCCGAAACCCGGUGAUCUAGCCAUGGGCAGGUUGAAGGUUGGGUAACACUAACUGGAGGACCGAACCGACUAAUGUUGAAAAAUUAGCGGAUGACUUGUGGCUGGGGGUGAAAGGCCAAUCAAACCGGGAGAUAGCUGGUUCUCCCCGAAAGCUAUUUAGGUAGCGCCUCGUGAAUUCAUCUCCGGGGGUAGAGCACU